UAACGAAUCUUCCGCAAUGGGCGCAAGCCUGACGGAGCAAUGCCGCGUGUGGGAUGAAGCGGCUACGCCGUGUAAACCACUGUCAGGGGGCAGGAACAAUGACCGCCCCCAGAGGAAGAGCCGGCUAACCCUGUGCCAGCAGCCGCGGUAAUACAGGGGGCUCGAGCGUUAGUCGGAAUCACUGGGCUUAAAGGGUGCGUAGGCGGCUCGCCAAGUGCUUUGUGAAAUCCCACAGCUCAACUGUGGAACAGCAGGGCAAACUGGCGGGCUUGAGGCAGGUAGGGGCCGGAAGAACAGUUGGUGGAGCGGUGAAAUGCGUAGAUAUCAACUGGAAUGCCGAUGGGGAAGCCGUCCGGCUGGGCCUGUCCUGACGCUGAGGCACGAAAGCGUGGGGAGCAAACAGGAUUAGAUACCCCCGUAGUCC
rnacentral:rRNA from 1 species